UUCGAUCACUUCGGGGUCGGUCAGCUGUCGAUCCCCGUGUUCUUGCUCACCUCCCUCUCCCUCCUCUCACUCUCCCUUCGGGGUUGCUACUGCUGGCGGAGUCAGAUGGAAGGGCCGGGGCCAGGAAGGGAGUGCUGCCGGGGAACUCUGAGGUGGAAAGGGUACUCGGUUUCUCUUGUUUCUCCUUAGAUCGCCGUUCCUGCGUCUCCUACCCCCGCAGGAGACUCGGCCUAGGUCUAGAAAGUAAGACACUUCCCUCACGUUUUUGUCUCUUUUCUCGUUUCUUUUCGUCUCUAAAAUAUUUUAUUUCGUCGGAUGGCGCAAGCCAUUAUGUUUAGGAAUUCAGGCAAUUGCUGGGCCAUGUCUCCGCCUAGGUGGAUCAACAACAGAGUAGUGAAUAGAUGGGUGUUCCUUUGGAGUUUUUUGUUUGCAGGGUAGCGAAUGGUAAAUUACAGGGUCUGGAUACGAAUUGAUUGGACAAAUAUGAAGCAUUGUCGAGUGUCAGAGUUUAUUGAUUUUCAGUGAGUCCAGCUACGUAGGAUUCGUUUGAUAAUACUCAUUUCUAUUCCGUACGAGGAUGGCUCCGACAUUUCUAAAAUGAUGGUAGUGGCAUCCGAGUUGAUGCAAAUUUCUAUGGGAUAUGGAAUUUUCAAAAUUUACCUUUACAGCCCCGCGUGUAGUAUGGAGCUUGAUGGGUUGUGAGAGAAAACGCCAAGAUAAGUGAUUUUAUUACAAUUUUUUGGAUGUUUUUCUGAAAGCCAGCCACCAUUAGGGAAGAACCUACUCAUAAGGAGAAUAGCAAGAAGUUCAUGCGGGGAAAGUGAUGAAGUUUACUUUAUAGUGUUUUAUAG
rnacentral:lncRNA from 1 species